rnacentral:rRNA from 1 species
UACAGAGGUCCCAAGCGUUGUUCGGAUUCACUGGGCGUAAAGGGUGCGUAGGCGGUCGAGUAAGUCUGACGUGAAAUCUCCGGGCCUAACCCGGAAACUGCGUUGGAAACUACUUGGCUAGAGGAAUGGAGGGGAGACUGGAAUACUUGGUGUAGCAGUGAAAUGCGUAGAUAUCAAGUGGAACACCAGUGGCGAAGGCGAGUCUCUGGACAUUUCCUGACGCUGAGGCACGAAAGCCAGGGGAGCAAGCGGG